GAUCAUGGCUCGGGACGAACGCUGGCGGCGCGCCUAACACAUGCAAGUCGAACGAGCGAGAGAGAGCUUGCUUUCUCGAGCGAGUGGCGAACGGGUGAGUAACGCGUGAGGAACCUGCCUCAAAGAGGGGGACAACAGUUGGAAACGACUGCUAGUACCGCAUAAGCCCACGACCCGGCAUCGGGAAGAGGGAAAAGGAGCAAUCCGCUUUGAGAUGGCCUCGCGUCCGAUUAGCUAGUUGG
rnacentral:rRNA from 1 species